AUCCAGUUGGCGAGUCUCAAAUAGGACGAAACGCGUGUUCUGAAU
rnacentral:hammerhead_ribozyme from 1 species